AUGCUCGCUUCAGCAGCACAUAUACUAAAAUUGGAACAAUACACAGCGAUUAGCAGGGCCCCUGUACAAGAAUGACAGGCAAAUUUGUGAAGUAUUCCAUAUUAAA
ensembl:snRNA U6 U6 spliceosomal RNA